GGACAAUCUAAGGAUUGUAAAAAGAGAAUGUAUAAUGUGUGAGUGGGAGAUUUGCAUUUAUAUUUCUUUCUUUCUUUUUUUAAAGAAAAUUUAUAAGUAACAAAAGAUAAAUGAAAAAAGUUGGCCAAAGUAGAAAAUGGUUGGGAGGAAAAUGACAAGAAGAAUGUUUGAAGGGAAGCACAUGGAUUGGUUUGUUUGGAUGAUUAUUGUGAGAUAUAUAAACCCCUUUUUUCAUGCUCCCCACUUACCUCCC
rnacentral:lncRNA from 1 species